GUAGGUGGCAAGCGUUGUCCGGAAUUACUGGGCGUAAAGCGCGCGCAGGCGGUUCUUUAAGUCUGAUGUGAAAGCCCACGGCUCAACCGUGGAGGGUCAUUGGAAACUGGAGAACUUGAGUACAGAAGAGGAAAGCGGAAUUCCACGUGUAGCGGUGAAAUGCGUAGAGAUGUGGAGGAACACCAGUGGCGAAGGCGGCUUUCUGGUCUGUAACUGACGCUGAGGCGCGAAAGCGUGGGGAGCAAACAGGAUUAGAUACCCUGGUAGUCCACGCCGUAAACGAUGAGUGCUAAGUGUUAGGGGGUUUCCGCCCCCCUUAGUGCUGCAGCUAACGCAUUAAGCACUCCGCCUGGGAGUACGGCCGCAAGGCUG
rnacentral:rRNA from 1 species